UACGAAGGGGGCUAGCGUUGUUCGGAAUCACUGGGCGUAAAGGGCGCGUAGGCGGCUUUGUAAGUCGGGGGUGAAAGCCUGUGGCUCAACCACAGAAUUGCCUUCGAUACUGCAUGGCUUGAGACCGGAAGAGGUAAGUGGAACUGCGAGUGUAGGGGUGAAAUUCGUAGAUAUUCGCAAGAACACCAGUGGCGAAGGCGGCUUACUGGUCCGGUUCUGACGCUGAGGCGCGAAAGCGUGGGGAGCAAACAGG
rnacentral:rRNA from 1 species